CCCCGGCUGGGGAGCUCGCUCAGGCCCCGCCUCCCCGGGGAGGGGGCUUCGCCGCCGCCGCCCCCGCCCCGGAGCCCGCGAACGCAGCGCGAGGUCCUACGUCCCCGCCGCUGCCCAGGCCCCGCUCAGAGCUCUGACCGGCCACCGCCGUCAGCGCCGCUGCUGACCGGGCGGCGUCGCAGCCUUCCCUGACGUCAGCGCGCCGCGGCGGGCCCCGCCCCUCGCCUUCUUUAGGGCGGGGCUGGAUGGGCCUGGGUUGGUGCGACGCGAGGAAGGAUGUGCUCCUGGGCUGGCGGCUCGGAGCCGGUCGUUCUGCCACCUUCAGGCUCGCGGGACGUAGGCGGCUGAGUCUGUACUCAUCGGUGAGAAGAGCGCAGAACUGUGCAGGCGAAUACAGGAUGAUUUUUAGUGAGCUGGGAUGGAGAGACAUGGGACCUGCAUGGAGCAUUUGGGGACACCAAGAGAAGUUUGCCAUACAGUCUCAUAACCUUCCAAAAAAGGAGAGAAAGAGAGCACAACUGGGGAAGAGGGCAGGAGAUAGAGUAGGCUUCACGUUCAGUGUGGAGCCCCACAUGGAGUUCAGUCUCACUAAGAGCACGACCCGAGCUAAACUCAAGAGUCAGUUGCCCAACCCACUGAGCCACCCAGGUGCACCUAAAUACUGAAGCUUUAAAUUGCAUUUUGAUAUUUAAUGGAGUGAGUACCCCUUCAUUGUUCUCAUUUUUCAAAAUGCCUUUUGUUUUUGUGUUUCAGAGGGAUUUCGGAAUAAUUUUAUCAGCUAUUUUCCAGGGUAUCCCGCUGGAAAGAACUGAC
rnacentral:lncRNA from 1 species